GGGGGGUGGCAUGGGAUUUCCAGGCUGUUCAUUUGGCAGCUUGUGGGAGAGGAAGCAAAGCCCCUUCCAUGAAGGACUGUCACUGGUGAUGGGUGGGCUGGGGACAAGGAGUGCAGAUGGAUACUGCUCAUUCUUCAAAGACCAUCUCAGCAACCCACAGCCUUCUUCCCAAUAGUGUUAACUCUGCAUUUUUACGGCGUAGCAUGCGUGUAGGUUUUUGGUUUUGUUUUGUUGUUCUUUUUUUUUUUUUUUUUUUAAUGUUUUGUUAUCGUUUUGGUUUUCUGUUUUCUGUUGUUGGUUUCAUUUUUGUUCAGUUUCGUUUUUCUUUCGCUAUUACUGGUUGUAUCGGUCUGGGGGUGUUUGGGGAGGGGGUUGGGGGGAGGGAUGUGGGGCAAUUGGUCUCUUGUUUCAUCGGGGAGGGAGGGAGAUGAGGUCUGGUGACCGAAGUUCCAGAUCAUUUCCAGGUCUUUUUUAGAACCUGAAUUCAGAAAAGGAGGAGGAAAAAAAAAAAAAAAGAAAAAAAAAAAAAAAAAAGGAAACAAAAAGAAAAAUAAGAGCCCAGUAUUGAUGCCAGAACUAAGGAGACAGGGAGGCUGACGUGAGCCUGAGACUGUGAAUGUCCACAUCUUUGGAGCCGAGGUCCUCAAAACCCUCAGAGCAGUUGGUAUGGGGGGGGGGAGGGAGGGAGGGAGACUUGUGAUUCGUAUUGUCCUGCAGCAGAACUGCCAGCUACUGACACACGCAUUGUAGGUGGGAGGGUGGGCUGGGGAUGCAUCUUAACCCCUUCAAAGCCUUUCUACCUUUAUUUGUUUCUUUCCAUCACAAGGUGCUAUUGGUCAAAACCCGGGGGGGGGGGGGGAGACUUGUGACCAUUCGUUCCUUUUCCCACCUUAAUUUGACUGUCCAGCCAGCAGCACUGGGAACCCCUUCACAUUUAUCACAUGGGAGAGAGAGGAAACCACGAGCAGCACAAAAUAAAAAUAAAAUAUCAAAAAAUUAAUUCCAUAUUCUCCCAUUACAAGUGAUUGUUUUUAGGAGGCCACACAUUGGUGCCGGAGCCAGAUGAGUAACCCUGAAACUACAGAGGGUUUUCUUUUUUAAAUCCAGUUUAUUACAAAUAAUGACUUAUUUAAUGUCUGGGAUCGUGAGCCCCACCAGACUCCUGGCACCUCCUUGUAGGGUGGUAUGUAUCUAGACUUGCAUUGUACAAACCUUUUUUUAAAAGCAUGUGUUUAGGUUUCUGUGAAAACGUUGUUGAAAUGUAAAGUACGUGUUUGGAUUUUAACUUCAUACCGAGCUCUGUCCGUUUUUUUUUUUUUUUUUUUGGUCUCAAUAAAAUUUUAGAUUUAUAAUGCUGAUUUUUUUCUUCUCAACCUUGCUCCUUCCUCCAGCUCUCUUGUGCGUGAGCUCGGUGUAGAGCAGUGAGGAGGGGACUCAGCCCUGGUGGCGCUGAACGAGGUUAGAGCUGGCUCUCAUCUAGGUGUCGACUGGAGCUCUGCAGCAGCCCACGGCUGCGUCUCAUCCGUUGUGACUGCAGAAGAGUCGUGGCAGAGCUUGGUAGCUAAAGGCCUGAGUCGAGGAGGCUCCUGAGGGCGAGAGGCGUAGCUGUGAUGUGGGACCUGGGUGAUGGAAGGAGAUGCUGCGUGAGCUCCAGGCCAAGACCCGGCUGGCUGCGCUGUGGCUGAUUCUGGUGGCCGAAGAUGGAAAUGGCGUUUUUGCUUUGUUCUUGGCCUUGUGCAAGAGCUUGCAGCCUUCAGGAUUGGAGGAAGGGAAAACUGUGCCCCUCUGCUCGGCCCCCUGGCUCUCAAUGCCACAGCGCAGCCCUUGGCUUCGCUGAGAGGAGGAUGGGGCUUUCUGGCAUGCGAUUUCCAGCAUCCAGGGGGUGCGUGAGAGCAGGGAGCAGCGCUGAGGUUUUGGGUGGUGUUCAGCUGCUCUGCCAGUGCCUGCAAAACUAUGCAGCCCAUUGAAAUCCGGGCUGUUCGCAGCGCUGUGCUGAAAUGUCUUCCCUGCACUGGUAGCCAGCAGCAGCGGCAAUUAAACUGGUGUUAAUCACUGGAGUUGGAAGGAGGGAACGUCCACUUAAUUGAACGUAAGGAGGCUGCAGCUCCUCGGAGAGGCUCUUGGCUGAUUGAUGGCCACGGGGGGCUGGAAGCUGAGUGCUGCAGGAGUCUGGAGGAUGUGGGGCUCCUGAUGGGGCAGAGCAUCGCCUCCUGAGGCCCUGAGCCCAGCUCUGUGUGUGCUGGGAGCUGUGCUGGGUCGCGGUGGCGGGUUCAGUGCUCGGGGAUGGGGGCAGCCCAGCGCUCCUCAAAGCCAGGGCUCUGGCCGAGAUCAGAGGCAGGAGGCCCCGCUGGUGGCUAAAUGCUUCCUGCCUUGGAAAAUGAAAGGUCUGCUCACCACCUGAUCUGUGCUGGCAGGCAGCCCACGCUGCUGACAGUGCCAGGAUGUGACAGCGAUGCACCGAGCGCCGGCCCCGUGCUGCCCCAAAGGUUGGGGGAGAGGCUGCAGGCAGGGGUUGCACCAGGAGAGUUGUCAGCUGAAGGCAGAGCAGGGCUGCUGGCUGGGGUAGAGCGAGAAUGGGGGGGAUGGCAGGAGCCAGGCCAUGGAGACCCUUGAAAAGGACGACAGUGGGGGGGGAAGGCAAAUGCUUGGCCCUGGUUCCCAGAGCCUAACAGCGACCUGGGGUGAUAAACAGCCCUGGGGCCCAGGAAGAGACUGGAAAAACCUCGUAGUUUAUUUUAGUGCCCUGGGCUGAGCUGGGAGCAGGUGGAGCUGCCCUGGCCUCAGCACCCAGCAAAAGGGAGAUGAACCCAUCCCCUCCUGGGAUCAGGGGAGGUCAGUCUGCGGAAAAUCACAGUGGCCCCCUGAAGUUCCCAAUAGAAGCAGGACCUCACCUCCCUAUGGGGUACAACGCGGUGCUGCUGCUGGGCUCUGCCAAAGGACUGCAGCACCUUGCUGCCCAAGACUCCUCUUGUUCAUGGGCUCAGUUGGUGGUUCCUAAUCGAUUUGGGAACCCAGCUCUGUACCAACGCUGCCCCCACUAGAGGCCAGGUGGGGGAAAUGCUGCUGGCAAUGAUGGGGUGGCUGCUGCUGCCUUUGAGGAACACCCACAGGCUGGGACAGCAGCAGUGCCCGCUCCCCACAGAGCACCAGAGAGCGCUGGGAGCUGUGCCUGACAGCCCCCACAGGGAGGCUCUUCAGUUUCCCAAACGUGUUUCAGCUUAAGAAAUGAAAUAAAAAAAGAAAAUACACGAAACCAAGGCCUGUACAGUGAAUAAGCCAUUUUAUUUUUCGUCCUGUGCUCACACAAUCUCUCUUCUUUCCCUGACAGGUCACAGAUCAUUAAAAUAAAGUUUCUAAGAGGAAAAUAAUUUAAAACAUACACUCAGGGCUCCAUUCCAACCUCCCCAACACCCAACAUCUCCAUCCCUUGUGCUUCAUCUCAUGCGUAAGUAAAGCUGUUGGAUCUCAGGAGCGCGGUACGGCAGAGCCCUGCGCAAGGCCCGCAGAGGCAGCAGGCAGCCCUCAGGCUCUUCCCCACCCCGCACCCUGAGAUGCAGCUCCUUUCCCCGCAGCCUGUUCACAUGCCCACACCAACACCUCCUCCUUGGCAGCCCCCCAGCAGCAUCACUUUUUCCCCCCCCCCCCGGCACCCCCGGGUUCCCUGCAGAGCUGCUGCCCGCACCUCCUCAGCGCCGUCCCCCUCAGUGCUGCACCCUCAGCCCGUAUCACAUGCACAGGACUGGCUAGGAAAGCCAUUUUAAGCUAUUCAGUUGCUGGUAAAGUCACUCCCAGCUGUGCUAUAUUGUAAAUACAGCUUCUAGGAUCGUCUCCAUGGAGGAGACCAACAGUGAUCAAGGCACUACCCCCACCCCCCUCCUUAAAACAAAGGAAGUCAGACCAACACCUAGGGACAGAAGAGAAUCCUAUAAUGUGAUCACACGGUUACACUGAAUCUUUAUGGCAAAGAGAACAAUUAGCAGCUUUGAACGUUCGGGCUUCUCCCUUUUACUCAACACAAGCACUCUAGACCCUAUAGGGAAAACAGGGCGGAAGCCCUACAAAUUAAAAAAUGAAAGAAAAUAAAAUCAAAGCACGGUUAAGAAACAGGAAUCCUAACAGCUGUCUAGUUCUAUAGGUGACAAGCCCACGGCUCUGCGUGCUGCCCCUGCUGCCCCACAGCCGCCCCGUGGCCCCCAAAGCUUCCUCAGCCAGGCAGGAGGAGAAGACAGCGGCUGCAUGCGGGCUGCUGCCCUCCUGCACAGCGCGGCAGUGACGGCAGUGACUGCUCUGUGAGUGUGGUGGGGAUGCACAGCGCUCUGCUCCUGUUAACCCUUCCCAGUUCCACCCCCCCUCAGGGCUCCGGCUCCAUGCCCCAAGGCAGCACAGCCCUCCCUUCCUCACGGAGCUGGAAGGGUUAACGGAAGGCCGCGCCGCUCGCGUCGCCAUGCGUGCACUGGUCUGAUCUAGAAAGGGAUGGUGGCUAAUCGGGAAUUAAGUCGGGGUUGAAUCACACACACUGAUGUCAAAACUGGUUCAGGAAAGAAAAAAAAAGAAAAAAAAAAACGAAAAAAAAAAAAAACAAAACAA